GAAUUGUCAACAUUUCAGUUCAAAAAUUUGAAUCAGGACCUGAGAUUUCAACCCAAAAUGUCUGACCCACUAAGUUCCUCCAGCAGACUGUUAGUUGCUCCAGAUUCCAGAAUCUGCAGUCCCUUUUAUGUCUUUGUUAAAAACAUUUUCUUUAGAAUCUUCAUAUAGAAACUAGCUAAUUAGUAAAGUUCCAUUUUCCCACACUCAGUGGCUAAUAUCUACUGACAAUCAAGUAUGUAUGGAUAUAAACUUCUGCUAUAUAAUGCCCAACUAAAAUUGUUCUUUUAAUCAUUCAUAAAUAAAAAUCCAUACUCUGUGUGCAAAAUUUAUUUUUUCAUGGCUUACAAUAAGAAAAUAAUUGAAACCCAAGAUUCCAAAUGAAUAACACUAUUUAAAACUAACUGAAACAACUUGUUCUUUCCUAUGUUGAAAAAUACUGGAAUGCCUGGGAACUGGGAGAAAUAGCAAAAUUAAGGAACUUCAAAAAUAAGAUCUUCUAUAUGAUGUCACAUGAUGUGCUACAAUAAUUAUUUCCUAUGUGGAGACCUUCAGCAGAAAGUAACUGCAGAAGAUCACAAGACUUUUCUGAGAACAAUCUCAAAUCAAAGAACAAGUGCGAACCCUAUGGUAAAAAUAAUAACAAGGAAAAUGUGGGGUAAGCUUGAGUGUGUGUCAAACAUGAUCAGAUGUACAGCUCAGCCCGGCACAAAAUACAGAUGGAAAGUUUAAAAGGGUCAUCCCAAUGAGAGGCGGUGAAGUAGUGAAAGUGAUGCUGCCUGGUGUUUGUAUUACAUGCUAUUUGCGAUAGAAAGAAAAAGAAAUAUGACAUUUAAUGUUAAGAUGUAAAGAGAUGAUUUUGCUUUUCCAUCAUGGUUUAGAAAGGUGCAGCACACCCAGUUAAAACACUUAAUUUUCUCCUUUAUUUUUAUUCUAGUAUUUUUGCGAAGCUCGGUACACUCCUGACAAAAGCAGCCUCCUGAGAGGAUCUUGUAUAUUGAUCCAAAGAUAAGAGCUUGGACAACACAUCGUGAAGCUCCAGUCUGCCACAAAAUUUCUGCUUGAGAGAGACCUUGUUCACACAGGAUGACCACCUGCGUCUUGGUACUUCGUUCACUUCUGCCAUGGUAACCACUUUUGCAGAAGACAAAAUACAAACAUCAAAAACAAAAUUUAUAUGAAAAAAGCAACAGUCAGGCAGCAUCUAUGGAAAUGAAUAAACAGUCGAUGUUUCUGGCCAAGACGGUUCCUGAACCUGGUAGUGUGAGCUCCGUACCUUCUUCCUGAUGGCAGCAGCGAGAAGAAAGUUUGGCCUGGGUGGGGGUUCCUGAUGAUGGGUGCUGCUUUCUUGCGACAAUGUUCUGUGUAAAUGUGCUCAGCUUUACCCGUGAUGGACUGAGCUGUAUUUACAACUUUCUGUUACUGUUGUAACUUGAUACAUUAUGCCAUCUCUCAUUCUCAAUAAUUCAGCUGAUGGACACAAGCAUACAAAAUACAUUCUUCACUGCCCUUCUUGUAUGACCACUUUCAAUGAAUAAUAAACUUGCAUUCCCAGCUCCCUCUGUAUAUCAACACUUCUAAGAUUCCUGCCAUUUAUCCAUAUAUCCUAUCAGAAUUUGACUUCAGAUCCUUUGCUAAUUAUGCAACUUACUGGGGAAUUUGGUUUCUGUUUCUCUGAAUCAAUAUAUCAUGUCACUAAAUUGUCAAUACAUACGUGUAUAUAAUAUUUGGCAUUUGUGAAAACUUGCACUGUAAUCAGUAUAAUUUACAUAAAUCCAUAUAUUGAGUCCA